rnacentral:tRNA from 1 species
GUAAAAGUAGGCCUACUGGUUAGGGCUUCGGGCUUGUAACCGGAGGGUUGCCGGUUCGAUACCAGACCA